UACGAAGGGGGCUAGCGUUGUUCGGAAUCACUGGGCGUAAAGGGCGCGUAGGCGGCUUUUUAAGUCGGGGGUGAAAUCCUGGAGCUCAACUCCAGAACUGCCUUUGAUACUGAGAAGCUUGAGUCCGGGAGAGGUGAGUGGAACUGCGAGUGUAGAGGUGAAAUUCGUAGAUAUUCGCAAGAACACCAGUGGCGAAGGCGGCUCACUGGCCCGGUACUGACGCUGAGACGCGAAAGCGUGGGGAGCAAACAGG
rnacentral:rRNA from 1 species